rnacentral:rRNA from 1 species
AUGCCAUAUCCUCAUAUCUUCUUGUUUGGCAGAGUUCACCACUUGCAUAGUCUUGAAUGGAGAAGAUUGAACAUGCUCUCGUACAACUGGGCAAUGGUGUGGAACUCCAUAAGCGAUGGCGACGAUGCUGGAUACAGUUGUCCGUCCGGCAUGAUGGAGAAGCUUCAAGAACUAAAUUUUUUUAUUCCUUGCCCAGGAUCUGUAAGGAGAAUCUUGUGGCGGAGAUUGGGAGGAGGUAGCAGAGGUGUUCUAGACGGCGGCGUGCAGUGGGUGGGGAACAAAAUCAAGCAAGAUAUUCAGCGUGUCUUCCUCAUGGACAGUCUCAAGGUACUUCUUCUGAAACCACAGAAAAUGGAUUAA